UGCCCUCCGCAGGGGGAUAACCCGGAGAAAUUCGGACUAAUACCGCGUGGUACAUCUGUGGGGCAUCCCACGGGUGUUAAAAGGAAGCGAUUCCGGCGGAGGAUGGGCAUGCGGCGCAUUAGCUUGUUGGCGGGGUAACGGCCCACCAAGGCGACGAUGCGUAGGGGUUCUGAGAGGAAGGUCCCCCACACUGGUACUGAGACACGGACCAGACUCCUACGGGAGG
rnacentral:rRNA from 1 species